GAAACGACUCUCGACAACGGAUAUCUUGGCUCACGCAUCGAUGAAGAACGUAGCAAAAUGCGAUACUUGGUGUGAAUUGCAGAAUCCCGUGAACCAUCGAGUUUUUGAACGCAAGUUGCGCCCGAAGCCAUUUGGCCGAGGGCACAUCUGCCUGGGCGUCACGU
rnacentral:rRNA from 1 species